GACGAACGCUGGCGGCGUGCUUAACACAUGCAAGUCGAACGGAAAGGCCUCUUUCGGGGGGUACUCGAGUGGCGAACGGGUGAGUAACACGUGAGUAACCUGCCCUUGACUUUGGGAUAACUUUAGGAAACUGGGGCUAAUACCGGAUAGGAGCUCCUGCUGCAUGGUGGGGGUUGGAAAGUUUCGGCGGUUGGGGAUGGACUCGCGGCUUAUCAGCUUGUUGGUGGGGUAGUGGCUUACCAAGGCUUUGACGGGUAGCCGGCCUGAGAGGGUGACCGGCCACAUUGGGACUGAGAUACGGCCCAGACUCCUACGGGAGGCAGCAGUGGGGAAUAUUGCACAAUGGGUGGAAGCCUGAUGCAGCAACGCCGUGUGCGGGAGGACGGCCUUCGGGUUGUAAACCGCUUUCGCUCAUGACGAAGCUUUGUGUGACGGUAGUGGGUAAAGAAGCACCGGCUAACUACGUG
rnacentral:rRNA from 1 species